UCAACAGUAGACGAUUUCACUAGACGAUUCAGAAAUGUGAACGUUUUGACAUAGGGAUUUAAGGAACCACUUGGACUAG